AUAUGCUUACAACAUAGUGUUAAUGCACCAAAUCCAUUUAGAACUUCGAAGUUAAGUGCACUCGAGCUAGAGUAGUACUAGGAUGGGUGAUAUCCCGAGAAGUCCUAGUGUUUUACAUGCC
rnacentral:rRNA from 1 species